rnacentral:lncRNA from 1 species
CAGCACUGAUACUGACUGCUGUGUAAACAGAAGAAGUGAUAAAAUAUAUUCUGAAAUUAGCUAUCAAGGUUCAGAAAUUGAGAAGGGCAAGGUUUUGGUCAAAUGACCAUAUUCAAACUUUAAAAGAAGAUAAGACAGACUCUACAGGAAGAAACAGACUCUCAUCAAAGCGCUUCCUGGAGAGCUCCCCUUUUGAAGUGCACUGACCUGAAGCCUGCGUGGCUGCCUUUGAAGAGGGCAUUUUUUGCAUUCCCUGCAAAGCCGGAGAACCAGAAACCCUGAGUCAGCUGUCCUGCGUGGAGCAGAGCUGCAGAGAGAGGUCACUACCAGGGACACACAGGACUACUGGAGCGGAAAUCUCCUCUUCAGAUUUGUACUAAACAACAUCAGUAAGAGACUGUUUCUGGUGCUGCUUUGUAGUAUAGUAUAAAUAGAAGCUCU